rnacentral:rRNA from 1 species
UAGGGAAUAUUAGAAAUGGACGAAAGCCUGAUCUAGCAACACCGCGUGUGCGAAGAAGGCCUUCGGGUUGUAAAGCACUUUUUGGAAGGAUUAGGAAGGAAUGUACUUCCAGAAUAAGUCUCGGCUAACUACGUGCCAGCAGCCGCGGUAACACGUAGGAGGCAAACGUUAUCCGGAUUUACUGGGCGUAAAGCGCGUGUAGGUGGUUCUGUAAGUAGGGCGUGAAAGCUCCUGGCUCAACGGGGAGAGGCCGUUCUAAACUGCAGAGCUAGAGGAUGGUAGAGGGAGGUGGAAUUCCGUGCGUAGCGGUGGAAUGCGCAGAUAUCCGGAGGAACACCAGUGGCGAAAGCGGCCUCCUGGACCAUUCCUGACACUCAGACGCGAAAGCUAGGGUAGCAAACG